rnacentral:tRNA from 7 species
GGAGAGGUGGCAGAGUGGUCGAAUGCGGCGGUCUUGAAAACCGUUGUACCGCAAGGUACCGGGGGUUCGAAUCCCUCCCUCUCCGCCA